ACGGGUGAGUAACACGUGGGUAACCUACCCUGGGGAUCGGGAUAACUGGCCGAAAGGCCCGCUAAUACCGGAUAAGACCACAUGGGCUCUGGCCCAAGAGGUCAAAGUCGGCCUCUCGACGAAGCCGACACCACAGGAUGGGCCCGCGGACCAUUAGCUAGUUGGUGAGGUAACGGCUCACCAAGGCCGAGAUGGUUAGCUGGUCUGAGAGGAUGAUCAGCCACACUGGAACUGAGAUACGGUCCAGACUCCUACGGGAGGCAGCAGUGAGGAAUAUUGCGCAAUGGGGGAAACCCUGACGCAGCAACGCCGCGUGGGUGAAGAAGGCUUUCGGGUUGUAAAGCCCUGUCAGGCGGGAAGAAACCUCUGUAGUCGAAUAGGCUGCAGAACUGACGGUACCGCCAAAGGAAGCACCGGCUAACUCCGUGCCAGCAGCCGCGGUAAGACGGAGGGUGCAAGCGUUGUUCGGAAUCACUGGGCGUAAAGCGCGUGUAGGCGGUCUGAUAAGUCGAGUGUGAAAGCCCGAGGCUCAACCUCGGAAGUGCAUUCGAAACUGUCAGGCUUGAGUACGGGAGAGGGAAG
rnacentral:rRNA from 1 species